rnacentral:rRNA from 1 species
AACGAACGCUGGCGGCAGGCUUAACACAUGCAAGUCGAACGCAUCGCAAGAUGAGUGGCAGACGGGUGAGUAACGCGUGGGAACAUACCCUUUUCUACGGAAUAGCUCUGGGAAACUGGAAUUAAUACCGUAUACGCCCUACGGGGGAAAGAUUUAUCGGGGAAGGAUUGGCCCGCGUUGGAUUAGCUAGUAGGUGGGGUAAAGGCCUACCAAGGCGACGAUCCGUAGCUGGUCUGAGAGGAUGAUCAGCCACAUUGGGACUGAGACACGGCCCAAACUCCUACGGGAGGCAGCAGUGGGGAAUAUUGGACAAUGGGCGCAAGCCUGAUCCAGCCAUGCCGCGUGAGUGAUGAAGGCCUUAGGGUUGUAAAGCUCUUUCACCGAUGAAGAUAAUGACGGUAGUCGGAGAAGAAGCCCCGGCUAACUUCGUGCCAGCCGCCGCAGUAAUAC